GUGUCAGCCGCCGCGGUAAUACGGAAGGGGCAAGCGUUGUUCGGAAUCAUUGGGCGUAAAGGGCGCGUAGGCGGUUUCGUGUGUCUGCUGUGAAAGCACAUGGCUCAACUGUGUGAAGUCGGUAGAAACUGCGAGACUUGAGGCUGGGAGAGGUUGGUGGAAUUCCCUGUGUAGCGGUGAAAUGCGUAGAUAUAGGGGAGAACACUCGUGGCGAAGGCGGCCAGCUGGACCAGCCCUGACGCUGAGGCGCGACAGCGUGGGGAGCAAACAGGAUUAGAAACCCCCGUAGUCC
rnacentral:rRNA from 1 species